rnacentral:misc_RNA from 1 species
GAUGAAGAACGCAGCGAAAUGCGAUAAGUAAUGUGAAUUGCAGAAUUCAGUGAAUCAUCGAAUCUUUGAACGCACAUUGCGCCCGCCAGUAUUCUGGCGGGCAUGCCUGUUCGAGCGUCAUUUCAACCAUCAAGCCCCCGGCUUGUGUUGGGGACCUGCGGCUGCCGCAGGCCCUGAAAAGCAGUGGCGGGCUCGCUGUCACACCGAGCGUAGUAGCAUACAUCUCGCUCUGGGCGUGCUGCGGGUUCCGGCCGUUAAACCACCUUCAUAACCCAAGGUUGACCUCUGAUCAGGUAGGAAGACCCGCUGAACUUAAGCAUAUCAAUAAGCGGAGGA